GACGAACGCUGGCGGCGUGCCUAAUACAUGCAAGUCGAACGCAGUGGGGACGGGUGAGUAACACGUGGGUAACCUCCCAUCGAAGGGGAUAACCCUUGGAAACAGGUGCUAAACUGAUAUUGAUGGAUGGACCCUGGUUGCAUUGGCUAGUUGGUGAGGUAGCGGCUCACCAGGGCCACGAGGCAUAGCCGACCUGAGAGGGUGAGCGGCCACACUGGGACGGAGACACGGCCCAGACGCAUACGGGAGGAAGCAGUAGGGAAGUUUCGGCAAUGGACGAAAGUCUGACCGAGCAACGCCGCGGGAGUGAAGAAGGCUUUCGGAUCGUAAAACUCUGUUGUUAGAGAAGCGGUAUCUAACCAGAAAGCCACGGCUAACUACGUGCCAGCAGCCGCGGUAAUAC
rnacentral:rRNA from 1 species